rnacentral:rRNA from 1 species
GACGAACGCUGGCGGCGUGCCUAAUACAUGCAAGUAGAACGCACAGUUUAUACCGUAGCUUGCUACACCAUAAACUGUGAGUUGCGAACGGGUGAGUAACGCGUAGGUAACCUGCCUGGUAGCGGGGGAUAACUAUUGGAAACGAUAGCUAAUACCGCAUAAUAUUGAUUAUUGCAUGAUAAUUGAUUGAAAGAUGCUAUUGCAUCACUACCAGAUGGACCUGCGUUGUAUUAGCUAGUAGGUGAGGUAACGGCUCACCUAGGCGACGAUACAUAGCCGACCUGAGAGGGUGAUCGGCCACACUGGGACUGAGACACGGCCCAGACUCCUACGGGAGGCAGCAGUAGGGAAUCUUCGGCAAUGGACGAAAGUCUGACCGAGCAACGCCGCGUGAGUGAAGAAGGUUUUCGGAUCGUAAAGCUCGGUUGUAAGAGAAGAACGGGUGUGAGAGUGGAAAGUUCACGCUGUGACGGUAUCUUACCAGAAAGGGACGGCUAACUACGUG